AAGAACUUUGUGUUAGUCCAGAGCUACGGCCUUACAGGAUGGUUUUUCAUAGUGACCUUUUAUGGAAAUCCCUGACUGUCCUCUGACCUUAAUAGCAAAACCAGUGUUGUGUUCCGUGUACCCCUAGGAAAUUAGGAUGCAGCAGAUGUGGUAAGACAGGAGAAAUCUUGUGAGCAAAAAGCACUCAUCUGAUUCUGUCCCUUCACCAGUUGUUAGGAGAAGCUGAUGCCGAGAGGGCAGCUCCUUGGAUGAAGCAGAAACUCUCAAAAAAUAAGUGCUGUUAAAGUUCUGCCAUCUUUCUCUCAGAGAAAUCUACAAAGGACUGGCAAGGCAUGGCAGUGACAGUCCUCUGAAGAACUACAGUGGAGUUGCCAGGAUGCUGUGUGUUGCCUGCACGCAUGCUGCGGAGGGUACCAGAAUCUAUCAGAUUUGCUAUGUGUGUUCUCCAGCUCUGCAGAACAUAGGCUGGGAUUUCUGACUCCUGAAAACCUUGGACUUUUUGCGAUUCACACGGGCAAACGCAUGAAUUCUUCAAAUGCUUUGUGGACAAAAUAUUCAGCUGGAUAAAGAGGAGAAGCACGGCCAUCUAAGUCUGAGACUCGGGAGAUGCUGAACAGUCAAAAUUCUCACCAAUUUGACCGACAGACAGAGGAAAGCUGCCCUAGGAUCCGGCCCAAAGCAAAUAUUCUGGCAAGACCAGCGCUUCCCGAGAUAAUUUUAGAAGUUGUGCUGCCUGACAAGAAAUAAUAUGGGAAAAAAACAAUUUUAACAUGAUAAUACUUCGCGCAUAAAACUCAAGGUGGUUCUAUUUCCGACACAUUAAAUGAAUCGUACACCUCCCAGGAAGUGACCGUCAUCCCUAGAAAUGAAUUACACCGUAUUAUCCAA